AUCUAUGGCCAUACCAUCCUGAACAUGCCCAAUCUCAUCUGAUCUUGGAAGCUAAGCAGGGUCAGCCUGGUUAGUACUUGGACGGGAGACCGCAUGGGAAUACCGGGUGCUGUAGGCU
ensembl:rRNA 5S_rRNA 5S ribosomal RNA